rnacentral:rRNA from 1 species
GUUAGGAAUUUUCCGCCAUGGGCGAAAGCCUGACGGAGCAAUGCCGCGUGACGGAUGAAGGACUAUGGGUUGUAAACUUCUUUUCUCAGAAAAGAAUUAUGACGGUAUAUGAGGAAUAAGCAUCGGCUAUCUCUGUGCCAGCAGCCGCGGUAAGACAGAGGAUGCAAGCGUUAUCCGGAAUGAUUGGGCGUAAAGCGGCUGUAGGUUGUUUAAAAAGUAUUCUGUCAAAGAUUAGGGCUUAACCCUAGAUAGGCAGAAUAAACUUUUAAGCUAGAGUUUGGUAGAGGCAGAGGGAAUUCCCGGUGGAGCGGUGAAAUGCGUAGAUAUCGGGAGGAACACCAAAGGCGAAGGCACUCUGCUGGGCCAAUACUAACACUGAGAGACGAAAGCGAGGGGAGCAAAUGGGAUUAGAUACCCGGGUAGUCC